AUUGAACGCUGGCGGCAUGCCUUACACAUGCAAGUCGAACGGCAGCACGGGAGCAAUCCUGGUGGCGAGUGGCGAACGGGUGAGUAAUAUAUCGGAACGUGCCCAGUCGUGUGGGAUAACGCAGCGAAAGCUGUGCUAAUACCGCAUACGAUCUAAGGAUGAAAGCGGGGGAUCGCAAGACCCCGCGCGAUUGGAGCGGCCGAUAUCAGAUUAGCUAGUUGGUGGGGUAAAGGCCCACCAAGGCGACGAUCUGUAGCUGGUCUGAGAGGACGACCAGCCACACUGGAACUGAGACACGGUCCAGACUCCUACGGGAGGCAGCAGUGGGGAAUUUUGGACAAUGGGCGCAAGCCUGAUCCAGCAAUGCCGCGUGCAGGAUGAAGGCCUUCGGGUUGCAAACUGCUUUUGUACGGAACGAAACGGCCCUUUCUAAUACAAGGGGCUAAUGACGGUACCGUAAGAAUAAGCACCGGCUAACUACGUGCCAGCCGCCGCAGUAAAAC
rnacentral:rRNA from 1 species